rnacentral:lncRNA from 1 species
UGUUGGUUUCGGCCAUGCGGUUUGUGGUAACUGGUUCCAGCAGCCCUAGGAAUCUAAUACACUGCCCAUGGAACAAAUCCUUUCUUGACCACCAAUGGCUGCAUGACUUAUCCUGAGAAGAUCAUGGGGAUUUUGGAUGCCAGGUCAACCCUUACACUCAGCAAGGAAGUGGAAGGGCCUCAGUUUCAAACACUUUGUAAACACAGAGGUUAGGUCAUUUCCUCUCCAAUAAGCCAGAAGCUGAGCUGUCCCUGGCAGCAAACUGUGUGUCAAAUGCCUGGCGGGUUUCAGGUUUUACUAACUCCAGAGUGACGAAACAUCACCACCUCUAAUGCCAGAAAGAAGUCAGCUGUUGUACCUGUGUCACAACUAAAUUUACUGAAGUCAGGGCAGCUGAAGUAAUCUAUAAAACUUAGCAUGUCAAUUUCAA